GGGGAUGCGUGCAUUUAUCAGACCCAAAACCNCAGGGGUCUCGGCCCCCGGCCGCUUUUGGUGACUCUAAUAACCUCGGCCGAUGCGCCUCCGCGGCGGCGACGUCUCAUUCGAA
rnacentral:rRNA from 1 species